GCCCCAGUAACGGCGAGUGAAGCGGCAACAGCUCAAAUUUGAAAUCUGGAGUCGUUGUGGCUUCCGAGUUGUAAUUUGCAGAGGGAGCCUCGGAGGGCUGGUCGGUCCAAGUGCCUUGGAACAGGAUACCGCAGAGGGUGAGAGUCCCGUAUCCGGCCGACGCAGCGCUCCGUGUGAGGCCUCUUCGACGAGUCGAGUUGUUUGGGAAUGCAGCUCUAAGUGGGUGGUAAAUUCCAUCUAAAGCUAAAUACUGGCCAGAGACCGAUAGCGAACAAGUAGAGUGAUCGAAAGAUGAAAAGCACUUUGAAAAGAGAGUUAAACAGUACGUGAAAUUGUUGAAAGGGAAGCGCAUGGGGGCAGACUUGGACGCGGGGUUCAGGGUCACAGUUUUGAGGCCUGUACUUCCCCGCGGACAGGCCAGCAUCGGUUCUGGGGGCCGGACAAAGGCGAGGGGAACGUGGCUCUCUUCGGGGAGUGUUAUAGCCCUUUGCGCAAUGCGGCCACCUGGGACCGAGGACCGCGCUUCGGCAAGGAUGCUGGCGUAAUGGCCUCAUGCGGCCCGUCUUGAAACACGGACCAAGGAGUCUAACAUCUAUGCGAGUGUUUGGGUGGCAAGCCCGGACGCGCAAUGAAAGUGAACGGAGGUGGGAGCCCUUUUCUUGUGGAGGGGGUGCAGCAUCGACCGAUCCGGACGUUU
rnacentral:rRNA from 1 species